GUGCUUGCUUUGGCAGCACAUACACUAACACUGGAAUGACAGAGAAGAUUAGAAUGGCCCCUACAUAGGAUGAUAUGCAUGGGCCGGGGAUUUAGCUCAGUGGU
ensembl:snRNA U6 U6 spliceosomal RNA